rnacentral:rRNA from 1 species
GUCCAUGCCGUAAACGAUGUCGACUAGGUGUUGGGGAACUUGAUUCCUUAGUGCCGCAGCUAACGCAUUAAGUCGACCGCCUGGGGAGUACGGUCGCAAGACUAAAACUCAAAUGAAUUGACGGGGGCCCCGCACAAGCGGUGGAGCAUGUGGUUUAAUUCGAUGCAACGCGAAGAACCUUACCUACUCUUGACAUCCAGAGAAUCCUGUAGAGAUACGGGAGUGCCUUCGGGAAUUCUGAGACAGGUGCUGCAUGGCUGUCGU